rnacentral:rRNA from 1 species
UAGGUGAACCUGCGGAAGGAUCAUUACUUUAUGUGAUGUUCAAAUUUGAAUUCGCAAUGAAAUGAUCGUUGUGAAACGGCUGUCGCUGGUGUCUAAGUGUUGCUGAUACGGUUGUGAACGUCCGUGGCUGUAUAUGUGGUGACAUGUUAGGACUCUAAUGAGUUUAAGACCUAAUGAGCCUCUUAAGUGAGGCCGCCAGCAACCUUUUUUUUCUCUACAUUUUAAAAAAAAAAACUAAAAUUCUACCCUUAUCGGUGGAUCACUAGGCUCGUGGAUCGAUGAAGAACGCAGCAAACUGCGAUAAUUAUUGCGAACUGCAGAAGUAUUGAGCACAAAAGUUUUGAACGCAAAUGGCCGCAUUGAGGUCAAACUCUUUGCAACGUCUGGUUCAGGGUCAUUUUCUCUUAUAGCGGAAGCUUUAAUUUCUAUAAUGAUGUUGUUGCUUUAUAUUUUAAAAGGAUUUUUGUUUAUUCAUGUAUUAAAUCUAACUGUGAAAAUCAAACAAUUUUGACCUGAACUCAGUCGAGAGCACCCGCUGAACUUAAGCAUAUCAGUAAGCGGAGGAAAAGAAACUAACCAGG